rnacentral:rRNA from 1 species
UACAGAGGUCUCAAGCGUUGUUCGGAUUCAUUGGGCGUAAAGGGUGCGUAGGUGGCGCUGUAAGUCGGGUGUGAAAUUUCGGAGCUUAACUCCGAAACUGCAUUCGAUACUGCGGUGCUUGAGGACUGGAGAGGAGACUGGAAUUCAUGGUGUAGCAGUGAAAUGCGUAGAGAUCAUGAGGAAGACCAGUGGCGAAGGCGGGUCUCUGGACAGUUCCUGACACUGAGGCACGAAGGCAGGGGAGCAAACGGG